CCAUUGCUCAGUUGGUAAAGCACAAGGCUCUUAACCUUGUGGACAUGGAUUCAAGCCCAUGGUGGG
rnacentral:tRNA from 1 species